rnacentral:rRNA from 1 species
ACGGAGGGUGCAAGCGUUAAUCGGAAUCACUGGGCGUAAAGCGCGCGUAGGCGGCUUUUUAAGUCGGACGUGAAAGCCCUCGGCUCAACCGGGGAACUGCGUUCGAAACUGGGAAGCUUGAGUCCUGGAGAGGGUGGCGGAAUUCCGGGUGUAGGAGUGAAAUCCGUAGAUAUCCGGAGGAACACCGGUGGCGAGGGCGGCCACCUGGACAUGUACUGACGCUGAAACGCGAAAGCGUGUGGAGCAAACAG